GCAGGGGUGGCAGAGCCUGGUCAAACGCGCAGGACUUAAGAUCCUGUGGCUUAGCGCCUUCGUGAGUUCAAAUCUCACCCCCUGCA
rnacentral:tRNA from 1 species